UACGAAGGGGGCUAGCGUUGUUCGGAAUUACUGGGCGUAAAGGGCGCGUAGGCGGUACUUCAAGUCAGGCGUGAAAGCCCCGGGCUCAACCUGGGAACCGCGCUUGAGACUGGAGAACUAGAGUUCGGGAGAGGAUGGUGGAAUUCCCAGUGUAGAGGUGAAAUUCGUAGAUAUUGGGAAGAGCACGAUGGCGAAGGCAGCCUUCUGGGCCAACACUGACGCUCAUGCACGAAAGCGUGGGGAGCAAACAGG
rnacentral:rRNA from 1 species